GAUGAACGCUAGCGGCAGGCUUAAUACAUGCAAGUCGAGGGCAGCGGGAGUAGCAAUACUUGCCGGCGACCGGCGCACGGGUGCGUAACACGUAUGUAAUCUGCCCAUCACAGGAGGAUAGCCCGGAGAAAUUCGGAUUAAUACUCCAUAAUAGAAGAUAAAGCAUUUUAUUUCUUGAAGUUCCGACGGUGAUGGAUGAACAUGCGACUGAUUAGUUUGUUGGUGAGGUAACGGCUCACCAAGACUACGAUCAGUAGGGGUACUGAGAGGUUAAACCCCCACACUGGUACUGAGACACGGACCAGACUCCUACGGGAGGCAGCAGUAAGGAAUAUUGGACAAUGGCCGCAAGGCUGAUCCAGCCAUGCCGCGUGCAGGAAGACGGACCUACGGUUUGUAAAC
rnacentral:rRNA from 1 species